rnacentral:rRNA from 1 species
UACGAAGGGGGCUAGCGUUGCUCGGAAUUACUGGGCGUAAAGCGCACGUAGGCGGCGAUUUAAGUCAGAGGUGAAAGCCCGGAGCUCAACUCCGGAACUGCCUUUGAGACUGGAUUGCUAGAAUCUUGGAGAGGCGAGUGGAAUUCCGAGUGUAGAGGUGAAAUUCGUAGAUAUUCGGAAGAACACCAGUGGCGAAGGCGGCUCGCUGGACAAGUAUUGACGCUGAGGUGGCGAAAGCGUUGGGGAGCAAACAGGG